rnacentral:tRNA from 1 species
UUUUGUAGUAUUAAAUUUAGUACAACCUAAUGCAGGUAGGUAGGUUAUAAAGUUU